CCUACGGUAGGCAGCAGUGAGGAAUAUUGGUCAAUGGACGCAAGUCUGAACCAGCCAUGCCGCGUGCAGGAUGACUGCUCUAUGAGUUGUAAACUGCUUUUGUACGACGGUAAACUCCGAUACGUGUAUCUUUCUGAAAGUAUCGUACGAAUAAGGAUCGGCUAACUCCGUGCUAGCAGCCGCGGUAAUACGGAGGAGUCAAGCGUUAUCCGGAUUUAUUGGGUUUCAGGGGUGCGUAGGCGGUCGGAUAAGUUAGAUGUGAAAUCCCGAGGCUCAACUUCGGAAUUGCCUCUGAUACUGGUCGGCUAGAGAGUAGUGGAGGUAGGCGGAAUGUAUGGUGUAGCGGUGAAAUGCUUAGAGAUCAUACAGAACACCGAUUGCGAAGGCAGCUUACCAAGCUAUUUCUGACGUUGAGGCACGAAAGCGUGGGGAGCAAACAGGAGUAGAUACCCUAGUAGUC
rnacentral:rRNA from 1 species